rnacentral:rRNA from 1 species
UGACUUUUGACAAUGGAUCUCUUGNCUCUUGCAUCGAUGAAGAACAUGGUGAAAUGUGAUAAGUGAAGUGAAUCGCAUUAUCGUGACUCUUCUAGUAUUUGAACGCAUAUUGCACCUAGCAAAGUUAACGCUGAGCUAGGUAUGUUUGUUUGAGAGCGAU